AGUGGUGAAGCGAUAAAGGCUUGAGCCACGGCGUCACUGAGUCCUGCCUUCGAAUCACAGCUUCACUGCUUACUAAUCCACACAGUGUAUGAACUCAUGCAAGCUAGUAACCUGUGAGUCUCCGUUCCUUAUCUAUAAGGGUCUUGCCAGGAAACUUCUGGGAGCUUAUGAAAUCUACAGGAAAUAGAGUUGGUAGUCAUCCCUCUAUCCAACCCACUAGGUUGUUAUGAGGUUCCAGUGGAAUAAUGUCUGGACAACUGUUCACUUUGUACACCAUAAAGUUCUUGUCAAGGAUCAGUCAUAUGGGCCCAGGUCAAGUUUCGAGACAAAUUGUCACAGAAAAAAGACUUUUGAGACCAUCUGUAUCACCUAUUUUUUCAGGAGUUUAUUUCAGAGUGCAGAAAUGGCAUUAGGACUCCAAGGGCAAGAGAAAUGUGAACUGUAGUUACAACGGGGCAACAAGGAACUGAAAUUCCUGCAGGGACAGCAAGAGACAAAUUGAUAUGCCGAGUUCAAAAAUCAGUCAUCAAAUACCGAUGGACCAUUUACCAUGUACAGAGCACUAGUGACAGGGAUACAGCAGUGAAUACAGACCUGCUACCCUGCUCAUGAAGUUUAGAGAAAUGAGGAAGAGUCAAGAAGAGUUAGGCGGAAAAAACAGUACUUGGAAAGACUUGGAGGAAGAAAGAAGUAUGACACCUUGGGGCUUGGAGGACAUGUUCCGAUUUGUUCUGUAUAUCUGUGUAUCACUCCCAAUGUCUGGUAUUGUGUUGUACACACACAAAUGUACAGCAGAUAUUUUAAAAUCAGCAAUAAAUGAUGA